GAACUGGAACACAGGUGGCGGAUUGCUGUUGUUCAGCUCGUGUCGUGAGGAUGUUGGGUUAAAGUCCCGCCACGAGCGCAACCCCUUGUCAUUAGUUGCUACGCAAGAGCACUCUAAUGAGACUGCCGGUGACAAACCGGAGGAAGGUGGGGAUGACGUCAAGUCCUCAUGGCCCUUAUGGGUAGGGCUUCACACGUCAUACAAUGGUCGGGACAGAGGGUCGCCAACCCGCGAGGGGGAGCCAAUCUCAGAAACCCGAUCGUAGUCCGGAUCGCAGUCUGCAACUCGACUGCGUGAAGUCGGAAUCGCUAGUAAUCGCGGAUCAGAAUGUCGCGGUGAAUACGUUCCCGGGUCUUGUACACACCGCCCGUCACACCAUGGGAGUGGGUUUCACCAGAAGUAGGUAGCCUAACCGUAAGGAGGGCGCUAUCACGGUGGAUUAU
rnacentral:rRNA from 1 species